CCCGCGGACGGCCGACAGAGAGGUCUCGCGGCUGGAGGCGCACUGAGUAACGAGACGGACACGGAGAGCUCGGAUGAGACUGGAGAGCGUUCUCCAAUAUUUAUUGCACCACAUUUUAAAGGAAGGGGGAAGAGGUGAUUGGCCGGCAUGACACAGGUCACAUGAGUUAUGUGGCCACGCCAGGUUGGCUACAGAUUAAAAAAAAGCGAACACCAGCGGAGACCUGGCUCCAUCCUGCGGCACUACCAGGAAACACAGCACAAGCUGUUGUGUUGACAUGACACCAGGGGCUGCACGACACAACAGCCCCCCUGUUUGAAAGAGGA
rnacentral:lncRNA from 1 species